CCUACGGGGUGCAGCAGUGGGGGAUAUUGCACAAUGGGGGAAACCCUGAUGCAGCGACGCCGCGUGGGCGAAGAAGUAUUUCGGUAUGUAAAGCCCUAUCAGCAGGGAAGAAGAAAUGACGGUACCUGAGUAAGAAGCACCGGCUAAAUACGUGCCAGCAGCCGCGGUAAUACGUAUGGUGCAAGCGUUAUCCGGAUUUACUGGGUGUAAAGGGAGCGCAGGCGGCACGGCAAGCCUGAUGUGAAAGCCCGCGGCCCAACCGCGGGACUGCAUUGGGAACUACCGGGCUGGAGUGCCGGAGAGGUAGGCGGAAUUCCUAGUGUAGCGGUGAAAUGCGUAGAUAUUAGGAGGAACACCAGUGGCGAAGGCGGCUUACUGGACUGUAACUGACGUUGAGGCUCGAAAGCGUGGGGAGCAAACAGGAUUAGAUACCCCAGUAGUC
rnacentral:rRNA from 1 species